UCCCCCACCCACUCCAUCCUCUCCACAGGCACCUUCAUCAACACGGAGGGCAGAGCCCCAGACUGGUCAGUCCCGCACGGUUAGCUGUGUCCGAGCCUGCACCGCGCCGGCGGUGGGUCACUACCCUUUCCUGCAGACCAGAGGGCAGCGCGGCUGCCAGGAAUCGAGUGACCAGCAGACCUCCCAGAUCUGAAUGCCUCCCCAGGGGGCACCUCCUAGGUGUCUAUGAAGUGGGGACACCACAGGCCACCCCAACAGGGAUGCUCUGAAGACUGGCCCACAGGAAGAGUGAGAGCGCAGGAUGCCCCACACGGUGGGUCACGGCAACCUGAG